GGCGAGAUAGCUCAGUUGGCUAGAGCAUCCGGUUCAUACCCGGCAGGUCGAUGGUUCGAAUCCAUUUCUCGCUACCA
rnacentral:tRNA from 3 species